rfam:Chloroflexi bacterium OLB15 TZ15_CFX003CONTIG000177, whole genome shotgun sequence.
GGGGGUGACCUAGACUCGACGUGGGAGUUUGGGGCCGUGUGGCAGGUCGUGGCGCUCAGCCACGUUAAAAUGAGCAAGGCAUUAACUGCCAAGAACAACACACCUGCCUACGCUUACGCCGCCUAAUCGCGGUUGAGCUAGGUGUUGGGCCAAAGUAGCCCAACCGUUCGCCGCUUCCGGCUCUCCCCGGAUGCGUAGCGGGCGUCACCAAUGGGAGAGUGCGGCAGCGCCACGCCGAUACGCGCAGCCAAAGACUCAUCGGCUUAGGCACAUGCGUACCGAGUUGGCGGGGCUACAUGGGCCGAAAGACAACAGCCGACUAAACCUGUAGAGGCAUUGUCUCACCUCUUAUCGGACCGCGGGGCAGUACCGCGCACCUCCACCU